rnacentral:rRNA from 1 species
ACGGAAGGCAGCAGUGGGGAAUAUUGCACAAUGGGCGCAAGCCUGAUGCAGCGAUGCCGCGUGAGGGAAGAAGGUUUUCGGAUUGUAAACCUCUGUCAACAGGGACGAAAAUGACGGUACCUGUGAAGGAAGCUCCGGCUAACUACGUGCCAGCAGCCGCGGUAAUACGUAGGGGGCGAGCGUUGUCCGGAAUGAUUGGGCGUAAAGGGCGCGUAGGCGGCCCGUUAAGUCUGGAGUGAAAGUCCUGCUUUUAAGGUGGGAAUUGCUUUGGAUACUGGCGGGCUUGAGUGCAGGAGAGGUAAGUGGAAUUCCCAGUGUAGCGGUGAAAUGCGUAGAUAUUGGGAGGAACACCAGUGGCGAAGGCGACUUACUGGACUGUUACUGACGCUGAGGCGCGAAAGUGUGGGGAGCAAACAGGAUUAGAUACCCUGGUA